UGCAGCGGCGCAUACCACUCGUUCCCUUCCUCUCGAAGCGUGCGUUCCCCAGGAACAGUCGAGAGAGGUGACUCCGAGGCGAUUUCUUGACUCCCCGAUGGAUUCGCUGCUUUUCCUCGCCGUCGGUGGUUUUUUUGGCGCCGAUGUUCUUGCGGAACGGUGGAUCCGGUGGGUGAUGUACAUAUCCCCUUCUAGUAGAGUAGUUCUAGUUAGACUAUGGUUGGAUUUCUUGAUGGUGAAGAUCUCGUCGGUAAGCUUUUGUCCCUUCCAGAACUUCUUUACUAUUACCUUUGUUCGUGGUGUGCGAGUUCUGGUGGUGUCUAAGGUGCAAGUGGUGCUCGAUGGUGAUAUCUUUUGCGGAGGUUUCAACGUUGACGGGUAUGUCAUCGGUUUAUCUUUUGCAUUGGCGUUCGGUUCCACUGUGAUUUUCUUGGUGUUGUCGGUGCCCACGAUGCCAACGACAGUGCUGGACUUGUAAACUAGAAUACGGCAAUGGAUAUGUGGAGAAGUUUUGGAUGUGCUUUGACCCUUCAGGGUAGUUCUGGUUAUAUCAGAAUUUUAUCCCUUCAAAGUGGUUCACCUGCUCGUGUGUCCAAGAUGGUGUUCUUCGGUUACCCUUGCAGGAUUGUCGCUUGUCAACUGGGUGUUGCCGGUGAGACAACCGAGCCUGGUGAUUGCGAGGACUGCUCGGCGCAUUCAACGGAAAAACAGUAUGCUUCUAGUGUGCUUCUAAUGGAUUUCGAAGAUCUUUUUGUCGAUUGGGUUCCGGCCAUGAGUUUCAUCUUAGGUUCUUCUUCAUUGCGGGAGAUGGAGAAGGCUCGGCUAGCAGCAAUGGCGGUCGUCAGCGACGAGGAUCGUUGGGUGCUCCUGUUCUGAACUUCUAUCGGCGCAUUCAGAGUUCCACCAGACCCGCUGAUGAGAUCGACGGGCUCCAUUUUGCGCAAAACUGGAGUUUGCUCAGCAGUCAGUGGUGAAGUGGUUGACCUGAAUUUUGCACAGAGCUUUUUGGCCAA